GAUGAACGCUGGCGGCGUGCCUAAUACAUGCAAGUCGAGCGGACGGACGAGACGCUCGCCUGUCUUAAGUUAGCGGCGGACGGGUGAGUAACACGUAGAUAACUUACCUAUAAGACUGGGAUAACUUAGGGAAACCGGAGCUAAUACCGGAUCAUAUUUUGAAACGCAUGGUUCAACAGAGCAAGACGGACUUGCUGUCACUUAUUGGUGGUACCGCGCUGCAUUAGCUAGUUGGUAAGGUAACGGCUUACCAAGGCAACGAUGCAUAGCUGACCUGAGAGGAUGAUCAGCCACACUGGAACUGAGACACGGUCCAGACUCCUACGGGAGGCAGCAGUAGGGAAUCUUCGGCAAUGGGCGAAAGCCUGAUGGAGCCACGCCGCGUGAGUGAAGAAGGUCUUCGGAUCGUAAAACACUGUUAUUAGGGAAGAACAUAUGUGUAAUAAUCUGUGCAUAUCUUGACGGUACCGAAUGAGAAAGCCCCGGCUAACUACGUG
rnacentral:rRNA from 1 species